CAUCAUGCCCCUUAUGAUUUGGGCUACACACGUGCUACAAUGGACAAUACAAAGGGCAGCGAAACCGCGAGGUCAAGCAAAUCCCAUAAAGUUGUUCUCAGUUCGGAUUGUAGUCUGCAACUCGACUACAUGAAGCUGGAAUCGCUAGUAAUCGUAGAUCAGCAUGCUACGGUGAAUACGUUCCCGGGUCUUGUACACACCGCCCGUCACACCACGAGAGUUUGUAACACCCGAAGCCGGUGGAGUAACCUUUUAGGAGCUAGCCGUCGAAGGUGGGACAAAUGAUUGGGGUGAAGUCGUAACAAGGUAGCCGUAUCGGAAGGUGCGGCUGGAUCACCUCCUUUCUAAGGA
rnacentral:rRNA from 1 species